GCUGGAUGGAGAGCAGGGUGCCCCAGGCCUACCUGGAGGGGAAGGUCAACCUGGGUCAAAAGGGGAACAGGGUGCUAGAGGAGCCCCAGGAGAUCCAGGUGUCCAGGGAGGCCUCGGGGAGACUGGAGAGAAGGGCCCAAAAGGGCAA